CGUCCGGCGACCGGCGCACGGGUGAGUAACACGUAUGCAACCUGCCCUCUUCAGGGGGACGAACCUUCCGAAAGGGAGGCUAAUCCCGCGUAUAUCGGUUUCGGGCAUCCGAGAUCGAGGAAAGAUUCAUCGGAAGAGGAUGGGCAUGCGGCGCAUUGGGCAGUAGGCGGGGUAACGGCCCACCUAACCGACGAUGCGUAGGGGUUCUGAGAGGAAGGUCCCCCANACUGGUACUGAGACACGGACCAGACUCCUACGGAAGGCAGCAG
rnacentral:rRNA from 1 species